UGAGCAAUCUGCCCUUCUCUUCGGAAUAAGCGUGGGAAACCGCGUCUAAUGCCGAAUACGACCUCCUUUCGCAUGAUCGGAGGUGGAAAGCUCCGGCGGAGAAGGAUGAGCUCGCGGCCUAUCAGCUAGUUGGUGUGGGUAAUGGCCCACCAAGGCGACGACGGGUAGCCGGCCUGAGAGGGCGACCGGCCACACUGGGACUGAGACACGGCCCAGACCUCCUACGGGAGGNAGCG
rnacentral:rRNA from 1 species